GACGAACGCUGGCGGCGUGCUUAACACAUGCAAGUCGAGCGAUGAAGUUCCUUCGGGAAUGGAUUAGCGGCGGACGGGUGAGUAACACGUGGGUAACCUGCCUCAUAGAGGGGAAUAGCCUUCCGAAAGGAAGAUUAAUACCGCAUAAGAUUGUAGUACAGCAUGGUAUAGCAAUUAAAGGAGUAAUCCGCUAUGAGAUGGACCCGCGUCGCAUUAGCUAGUUGGUGAGGUAACGGCUCACCAAGGCGACGAUGCGUAGCCGACCUGAGAGGGUGAUCGGCCACAUUGGGACUGAGACACGGCCCAGACUCCUACGGGAGGCAGCAGUGGGGAAUAUUGCACAAUGGGGGAAACCCUGAUGCAGCAACGCCGCGUGAGUGAUGACGGUCUUCGGACUGUAAAACUCUGUCUUCAGGGACGAUAACGACGGUACCUGAGGAGGAAGCCACGGCUAACUACGUGCCAGCCGCCGCCGUAAGAC
rnacentral:rRNA from 1 species